GACAGAGGCCUCGAACGUUAGGCGGAAUCACUGGGCUUAAAGCGUGUGUAGGCGGAUCGUUAAGUGCCUUGUGAAAUCCCACGGCUUAACUGUGGAACGGCUGGGCAUACUGGCGGUCUUGAGCCAUCUAGGGGCGACUGGAACAAACGGUGGAGCGGUGAAAUGCGUAGAGAUCGGAAAGAACACCAAUGGCGAAAGCACUCUGCUGGGCCGACACUGACACUGAGAGACGAAAGCUAGGGGAGCAAAUGGG
rnacentral:rRNA from 1 species